rnacentral:rRNA from 1 species
UACGGAGGGGGCAAGCGUUAUUCGGAAUUAUUGGGCGUAAAGGGCGCGUAGGCGGCUAGAUGUGUCAAAGGUGAAAUCCCCCGGCUCAACUGGGGAACUGCACGGGAAACAGCAGGGCUUGAGUUCGGGAGAGGGAAGCGGAAUUCCGGGUGUAGCGGUGAAAUGCGUAGAUAUCCGGAGGAACACCGGUGGCGAAGGCGGCUUCCUGGACCGAUACUGACGCUGAGGCGCGAAAGCUAGGGGAGCAAACGGG